UCACUAGUCAUCUGAUUAUCUUGUUAAAAUACAAGUGCAGCUUCAAUUAGUCCAGGAGGGGGCCUGAGAUCCUGCAUUUCUAACCAGCUCCUAGGUGAUGCUGAU
rnacentral:pre_miRNA from 1 species